GAUGAACGCUGGCGGCGUGCCUAAUACAUGCAAGUCGAGCGAACAGACGAGGAGCUUACUCCUCUGACGUUAGCGGCGGACGGGUGAGUAACACGUGGAUAACCUACCUAUAAGACUGGGAUAACUUCGGGAAACCGGAGCUAAUACCGGAUAACAUGUUGAACCGCAUGGUUCAACAGUGAAAGACGGUCUUGCUGUCACUUAUAGAUGGAUCCGCGUCGCAUUAGCUAGUUGGUAAGGUAACGGCUUACCAAGGCAACGAUGCGUAGCCGACCUGAGAGGGUGAUCGGCCACACUGGAACUGAGACACGGUCCAGACUCCUACGGGAGGCAGCAGUAGGGAAUCUUCCGCAAUGGGCGAAAGCCUGACGGAGCAACGCCGCGUGAGUGAAGAAGGUCUUCGGAUCGUAAAACUCUGUUAUUAGGGAAGAACAAAUGUGUAAGUAACUAUGCACGUCUUGACGGUACCUAAUCAGAAAGCCACGGCUAACUACGUGCCAGCAGCCGCGGUAAUACGUAGGUGGCAAGCGUUAUCCGGAAUUAUUGGGCGUAAAGCGCGCGUAGGCGGUUUUUUAAGUCUGAUGUGAAAGCCCACGGCUCAACCGUGGAGGGUCAUUGGAAACUGGAAAACUUGAGUGCAGAAGAGGAAAGUGGAAUUCCAUGUGUAGCGGUGAAAUGCGCAGAGAUAUGGAGGAACACCAGUGGCGAAGGCGACUUUCUGGUCUGUAACUGACGCUGAUGUGCGAAAGCGUGGGGAUCAAACAGGAUUAGAUACCCUGGUAGUCCACGCCGUAAACGAUGAGUGCUAAGUGUUAGGGGGUUUCCGCCCCUUAGUGCUGCAGCUAACGCAUUAAGCACUCCGCCUGGGGAGUACGACCGCAAGGUUGAAACUCAAAGGAAUUGACGGGGACCCGCACAAGCGGUGGAGCAUGUGGUUUAAUUCGGAGCAACGCGAAGAACCUUACCAAAUCUUGACAUCCUCUGACCCCUCUAGAGAUAGAGUUUUCCCCUUCGGGGGACAGAGUGACAGGUGGUGCAUGGUUGUCGUCAGCUCGUGUCGUGAGAUGUUGGGUUAAGUCCCGCAACGAGCGCAACCCUUAAGCUUAGUUGCCAUCAUUAAGUUGGGCACUCUAAGUUGACUGCCGGUGACAAACCGGAGGAAGGUGGGGAUGACGUCAAAUCAUCAUGCCCCUUAUGAUUUGGGCUACACACGUGCUACAAUGGACAAUACAAAGGGUAGCGAAACCGCGAGGUCAAGCAAAUCCCAUAAAGUUGUUCUCAGUUCGGAUUGUAGUCUGCAACUCGACUACAUGAAGCUGGAAUCGCUAGUAAUCGUAGAUCAGCAUGCUACGGUGAAUACGUUCCCGGGUCU
rnacentral:rRNA from 1 species